UCUGGUGGCGAUAGCGAAGAGGUCACACCCGUUCCCAUACCGAACACGGAAGUUAAGCUCUUUAGCGCCAAUGGUAGUUGGG
rnacentral:rRNA from 1 species